AAACUGCGAUAAGUAGUGUGAAUUGCAUUUAGUGAAUCAUCGAAUCUUUGAACGCACCCUGCACUCACUGGUAUUCCGGUGAGUACGCCUGUUUCAGUAUCAUUGAAAACACACAAUCAAAACAUUUUCUUUGGUUUGAUUGGCUUUGGGUCCAUCAAAAAGUUUGGCUUGUUUCUUACAAGCCAAGCGGCCUGAAAUAUAUUGUCUGGCUAAUUGCAUCGUUGAUGAUCGCUAUUAGACUUUGGCUUUUUUAAAUGAACUGGAGGUUGAUUAACCAGUUUUAGCUUUAGUCAAAUGGUCAUUGUAAAAAAAAUCUCGAUCUUGGCUAGGUGUUUAUAGCCGAAAAUUUUUUUUUGGCUAUAACCGAAACCAAUAUAAGCACAUUUAGUUAUCGAUCUGAAAUCAGGUGGGACUACCCGCUGAACUUAAGC
rnacentral:misc_RNA from 1 species